rnacentral:lncRNA from 1 species
GGUGCUGGAGCUCACCAGUGACAAUGACCGCCUGCGCAAGCGGGUGGAACAGCUGAGCCGCGAGCUGGACACGCUGCGGGGCAUCUUCCGCCAGCUGCCCGAGAGCUCCCUGGUCAAGGCCAUGGGCAACUGCCCGUGAGGCGCGGGGCGGCCGCCCGCUGGGACCCCGGGCGUGGAUUCGUGGAGUCGGGCUCGGCUCGGGAUCUCCAGGCUGCCCCCCGCGGCGCAGGCCCGGCCUGGGAGGCCCCGGCCCGCCGAUUCGGUGCGCCCAGGACGGGGGUCAGGCCGGGCCUUCUCCCCGAAGGAGGGAAGCGCCGUGGGGCCGAGCCGAGCCCGAGCCCGAGCCCGAGCCUGGCAACUCUAGUAUUAAGGAUACCCUCGUGCCUUGGAAACGCAAACUCGCCGCUCCGAUUCCUACCGAGUAGGGGGAGCCGAUAGGUGCCUUGUCAUUUUAUUCGGAGGGUUCCUGCCGCACCCCGAGGUGCAGGCCCCCCACCCCCACCCCCACCCCCGGGGAGAGAGGGCAGCGUGCAGGCCCGCGGCUGCUCCAAGGGUCAGGAUCUCUCGGCGCCCGUCCUCGGAAGGGAGGACAUACAGGGACUUGGAAGGUCGUUACCCUAGUUCUACAUGAAGGUGGCGGGUCCCUAGCUCCCUGCCCUCCAGUCUCCCAGCCUGUCACGGGCUGGGCUUCCCUGGGCAGAACUCACUGAGAUGGGGGUCACCGGGUGACCGGCGGGAGCCCCUCCACCCCCACCCCCGGUCAGGCCAGGGCAGGCCAAAGCUAUCUGGACACGUGUUCGUGGGAGUGGUAGCCUGGUGGCAGAGGGAAACCUAGAGAUCUGGCCCCGGGGUGGGGGUGGGAGUGGGGCGGGGAGGUGGGGUGAAGGGACACUGGGACCAUCAGCCUUGUACUGUAUGUUGCCAGCAUUGCCAUACAAACAUGAAGCACAAUCUGUCCAUCCCAGAGGGACCGAAGUUAUGAGAAGCUUUCCAAAUAUUUUGCUUUAUCAGCCGAUAUCAACACUUGUAUCUGGCCUCUCUGUGUCCCAGCGGUGCCUUGUGCAAUGUGAAUGUGCACGUCUAUGCUAAACCACCAUUUUAUUUGGUUUUUGUUUUGUUUUGGUUUUGCUCAGAUACUUGCCAAAAUGAGACUCUUUGUCAGCAGCUGCAGGGAGGGUCUGCGGCUCUCUUUCCUUUUGGUUUUGGGGGAUCGCUUUUGCUCCCAGGGGAACCAAAGAGGUGAGGUGGGCUUCCUCUUUCCCUGGGGGGUUGGGGGGCCGUGGGCCUCGGUGCCCUCCGGCCUGGGCCGCCCACAGGCUUGUCCUGCCCGCCCCCCCAGAGGCCCUGGCUCCUGGUCUGGAAGGGAGGUGGCCUCCAGCCAGCAAGCGCAGAUCGCUGGGGCUGGGAGCAGGGAAGGACAGCUUGGUUCUCUUCUUUGGGGAGAACGUAGAGUUUCAUGCUAGAUGUUUUAUGUAUUAUAUCUAUAAUAUAAACAUAUCAAAGUAAA